CGUACAAGAGACUUUAUCGCCGAGCAAUCGGAGGAAAGUCCGGACAGGAAAGAGCAGUGCGCUGUGGAAAGCACAGAUAGGCGCGAGUUUAUGUGGGGAUAACAGAAAACAACCGCCCGCAAGGGUAAGGGUGAAAACGCGAGGUAAGAGCUCACGACAAUUUGUGGCAACACAAGUUGGGUAUCCCGCCGCAUCCUGCAAGGCUAUGUAUAUCGGCAGUUAAGGGUUGCUCGUCCUUUGCCGAGGGGUAAGCUGCAAAGAUAAAUGAUAAAGACCUGAUUUUCAGGGACAGAAUCCGGCUUAACUUGUACAAAAA
rnacentral:RNase_P_RNA from 1 species